rnacentral:rRNA from 1 species
UACGUAGGGUGCAAGCGUUAUUCGGAAUUACUGGGCGUAAAGCGUGCGCAGGCGGCUAUGCAAGUCAGAUGUGAAAUCCCCGGGCUCAACCUGGGAACUGCAUUUGUGACUGCAUGGCUAGAGUACGGCAGAGGGGGAUGGAAUUCCGCGUGUAGCAGUGAAAUGCGUAGAUAUGCGGAGGAACACCGAUGGCGAAGGCAAUCCCCUGGGCCUGUACUGACGCUCAUGCACGAAAGCGUGGGGAGCAAACAGG